rnacentral:rRNA from 1 species
UACAGAGGGGGCAAGCGUUGUUCGGAAUUACUGGGCGUAAAGGGCGCGUAGGCGGCCUGCUAAGUCGAACGUGAAAUCCCCGGGCUCAACCCGGGAACUGCGUCCGAGACUGGCAGGCUCGAAUCCGGGAGAGGGAUGUGGAAUUCCAGGUGUAGCGGUGAAAUGCGUAGAUAUCUGGAGGAACAUCGGUGGCGAAGGCGGCAUCCUGGACCGGUAUUGACGCUGAGGCGCGAAAGCCAGGGGAGCGAACGGG